AGAUCGAUAGCUCAGUGGAAGAGCGGUGGGGCGUUUACCCAUGCGGCCCGGGUUCGAUUCCCGGUCGAUUUU